UACGUAGGGACCGAGCGUUGUCCGGAUUCAUUGGGCGUAAAGAGCUCGUAGGCGGCCACUCAAGUCGAAUGUGAAACCUCGAGGCUUAACCUCGAGCCUGCAUUCGAUACUGGGCGGCUAGAGUCUGGUAGGGGGAUCUGGAAUUCCUGGUGUAGCGGUGGAAUGCGCAGAUAUCAGGAGGAACACCGAUGGCGAAGGCAGGUCUCUGGGCCGCAACUGACGCUGAGGAGCGAAAGCAUGGGGAGCGAACAGG
rnacentral:rRNA from 1 species